UGAGGAAUAUUGGACAAUGGGUGAGAGCCUGAUCCAGCCAUCCCGCGUGAAGGACGACGGCCCUAUGGGUUGUAAACUUCUUUUGUAUAGGGAUAAACCUACCCUCGUGAGGGUAGCUGAAGGUACUAUACGAAUAAGCACCGGCUAACUCCGUGCCAGCAGCCGCGGUAAUACGGAGGGUGCAAGCGUUAUCCGGAUUUAUUGGGUUUAAAG
rnacentral:rRNA from 1 species